CAACUGUACCAGACACCUGAGCAGUCUUCCCCAUCAUAAUCGGAGCUGUCUUGGAUUUCUAAGUUAGAUUACUUCUAAAGCUGGAAGUUGGACACGGUUAAGAAAAGAGUGACCAAAAUGAUCAAGAGGAUGGAGCGACCCCACCUCACCUCCCACCCCAUGAAGAAAGGUUGCAGCAUUUCAGACUUCUCAGUUGAUGGGAAAAGUGAGGAAGAAGCAGCAUGGUAGAAGUUAAUAAAAUCAUGCAUAGCUUGGAGAAGCUAAAUCGCAAAAAGGUUUUCUCCCUCUCUCAUAUCUCUCUAACUUGUGGACAUCUAACAAAGCUGAACGUUGGAGGAAUAAGAUGAAAGAAAGUACUUCUUCACAAAAUGCAUAAUCACAAAACAAUGGAACUGGCUUCCACAGGAGGUGGUGAUGACUAACAACUUGGAUGGGUUUAAAAGAGGAUCAGACAAAUUAAUGGAGGGAAGACUGCAGAUGGC